rnacentral:rRNA from 1 species
CUAGCUGGUCUGAGGGGAUGACCAGCCACACUGGAACUGAGACACGGUCCAGACUCCUACGGGAGGCAGCAGUGGGGAAUAUUGCACAAUGGGCGCAAGCCUGAUGCAGCCAUGCCGCGUGUGUGAAGAAGGCCUUCGGGUUGUAAAGCACUUUCAGCGGGGAGGAAGGCGGUGAGGUUAAUAACCUCAUCGAUUGACGUUACCCGCAGAAGAAGCACCGGCUAACUCCGUGCCAGCAGCCGCGGUAAUACGGAGGGUGCAAGCGUUAAUCGGAAUUACUGGGCGUAAAGCGCACGCAGGCGGUCUGUCAAGUCGGAUGUGAAAUCCCCGGGCUCAACCUGGGAACUGCAUUCGAAACUGGCAGGCUAGAGUCUUGUAGAGGGGGGUAGAAUUCCAGGUGUAGCGGUGAAAUGCGUAGAGAUCUGGAGGAAUACCGGUGGCGAAGGCGGCCCCCUGGACAAAGACUGACGCUCAGGUGCGAAAGCGUGGGGAGCAAACAGGAUUAGAUANCCUGGUAGUCCACGCCGUAAACGAUGUCGAUUUGGAGGUUGUGCCCUUGAGGCGUGGCU